ensembl:lncRNA
CGGACUCGUUGUGAUUCUGAAGUUUAUUUUCUUUCAUGCACUGGGAUGUUUUAAUAACAGGCUCGAUGUGAGCCUCGUUGCCUGGCAACCGCCUGCUGUCAACAUGCAUACCGUGUUACCGUGGGAACAGGAUGACUGGUGGGAAGAGUGGGACACAAAGCUGCGUUCCAACAAACAGUGUUCAGCUGACAUCUGGGGUCAACAUCAUGAGAUCCAACAGGAACCUGAUGCUGCAGUUCCGUCCGCCCUGCUGCCGUACCUGGGAGAAAGUCAGGAGGGUUUUGGUUAGCCGUCCCGGGACAUUUUGGACCGUUCGUUGAUCGAGGACUUCCAUCGGCGACGAGGUAGGCCUCCUCCUGGGGCACCUGGUGGCGCUCCUGGGAGGGGGGUACUGUCGGGUCUCUGGUCUAAUCACCUGUUCUUUGGUUUGGGUUUUGAGUGUUGUGUGUGUGUGUGUGUGUGUGUGUGUGUGUGUGUGGAUUGUUUGACAGCUCGCUACGUGCGCAUUGUCGGUGUAAUUGUUUCCCCGCCCUCCUUGUUUCUCUUCUCAUUAACUUAUUUUGUUCUCCCACCUGGUCCUUGUUACCUCUAAUUUCUCCCCUUUAUAGUUCCUUGUGUUUCUCUGUCGUUUGUCAGACUGUUGUGGUUAAUCCCAAUUGCUCUGAAUGUCUUGCUGGUCUUGCUUACCUAUCAUGUCUUGUCUUGUCAGGCUCCAGUGCUCGUAGCUGUAUUGUUUUCUGCCCCUCUCCCUGUGCUCAGUUUCCCAAGGAUUUCCCUUUGAGUUUCAUCCACCCUGGGUCUCAGCGGUCGUGUUAGUGGAUGCUCAGCCUCUCACUCAGAAGGAAGCAUUAAGUGCUCCAAAAUUUCUUGGUAAACGAGUGCAGUGACUUUGGUUUUCAAAAAACACAAUGGACCAACACCAGCAGAUGACAUUGCCCCCCAAAUCAUCACAGACUGUGGAAACUUAACACUGGACUUCAAGCAACUAUGAGCUUCUCCACCCUUCCUCUAGACUCUAGGACCUUGGUUUCCAAAUGAAAUACAAAACUUGCUCUAAUCUGAAAAAAAGGACUUUGGACCACUG